GAUAUGUUCCAUAGUUUACAUCCUACAGCGGAGUAUCACGGAGCUGCCCGUGCAAUCGGUGGAUGUGCAAUUUAUGUCAGUGACAAACCAGGCCACCACAACUUUGACUUGUUGAAGAAGCUAGUCCUUCCCGAUGGAUCAGUUCUUCGUGCCCAGUUACCUGGACGACCGACACGUGACUCUUUGUUCAACGAUCCAGCAAGAGAUGGCACCAGCCUGCUCAAAAUUUGGAAUGUGAACAAGUGCUCUGGUGUUGUUGGAGUAUUCAAUUGUCAAGGUGCUGGUUGGUGCAGGAUCACCAAGAAGACUCGUAUUCACGACGAGUCUCCAGGUACCCUCACUACUGCUGUCCGUGCAGCUGAUGUCGAUGCUAUCUCACAAGUUGCUGGUGCCGAUUGGAAGGGCGAUACUAUCGUUUAUGCCUAUCGAUCAGGGGAGUUGACUCGAUUGCCAAAAGGCGCUUCGGUUCCGGUUACCCUCAAAGUUUUGGAAUAUGAUCUUUUCCACAUUUCCCCUAUAAAGGACAUCACCUCGAACAUCUCGUUUGCGCCAAUCGGCUUGCUUGACAUGUUCAACACCGGUGGUGCCCUCGAGCAAGUGGAUGUCCAAGUGUUCGAACCAAUGCCAGAGUUCGACGGUGAAGUUUCAUCGGAGCUAACAUGUUCUCUCCCUAAGGAUCGACCUCCAACAGCUACAAUCAGCUUGAAAGCCCGAGGAUGCGGAAGAUUUGGUGUAUACUCAUCUCAGCAACCACUAAAAUGCAGUGUGGACAAGAUUGAUACCGACUUUGUGUACGAUGAGGUGACGGGGUUAGUCACCUUCACACUCCCUAUCCCGACCAUGGAAAUGUAUAGAUGGAACAUUGAAAUUCAAGUUUAAGUGAAUGUGCUAUGCAUAUGCUUAAUUUCAUUAUUGCCAAUGCUACCAUAUCAUUUAAUAAUGGCUUAGAAAGAGAGAAAGAGAGAGAGAGGGAUGAUGAUAAGCCCUGAUUAAACCAGGGUUUUCAAAUUCGCUCCGACUUGGGAGAGAAGCAAACGCGAG
rnacentral:misc_RNA from 1 species